GUGCAGUUUGUUCAAACUCCAAUGUGUGUAAACAAAGCAGAAGGAAAAUCAAAGAUUUGGAUCAGGGUAUAGGGAGAAGGUGAGGCCAAGUGGUCUGACCUCAUGGACCAGAGAAUGGACACGGAAAACAAGAGUCUGAGCAAAGCUCAAAGCAAGAAAAAGGCAGCAGGACCUAAAACCAGCAAACAGUCCUCUAAGAACUGCUCAACAUGUCCUUCAUGGUGUUGUUGUUUUCGACGACAGAAACAUCAUGAACCUGAACGUGCUCAGACACUUCAACCUGGACCAGUACCUGAACCUCAGAGUGAAACUUACACUAAAGCUUCAUUAAA